AAUGAACGUUGGCGGCGUGGAUUAGGCAUGCAAGUCGAGCGAGGACCGUAGCAAUACGGGGACAGCGGCGAAAGGGAGAGUAAUACGUGGAUACGUACCCUCGGGUCCGGGAUAGCCGCGGGAAACUGCGGGUAAUACCGGAUGACAUCUCCGGAUCAAAGGUGUGAUUCCGCCCGAGGAGCGGUCCAUGUCCUAUUAGCUAGUUGGUGAGGUAACGGCUCACCAAGGCUGUGAUGGGGACGGGGUGUGAGAGCAUGGCCCCGCUCACUGGGGCGGAGACACUGCCCAGACACCUACGGGUGGCUGCAGUCGAGAGUCUUAGGCAAUGGGCGCAAGCCUGACCGAGCGACGCCGCGUGCGAGAUGAAGGCCUUCGGGUUGUAAAUCGCUGUCGGAGGGGAGGAAAUGCCGGUGGGUUCUCCCAUCGGUUUGACCUAGCCUCAGAGGAAGGACGGGCUAAGUUCGUGCCAGCCGCCGCCGUAAAAC
rnacentral:rRNA from 1 species